GAUGAACGCUGGCGGCGUGCUUAACACAUGCAAGUCGAACGGGAAUUCUUUUAUUGAAACUUCGGUCGAUUUAAUUUAAUUCUAGUGGCGGACGGGUGAGUAACGCGUGGGUAACCUGCCUUAUACAGGGGGAUAACAGUCAGAAAUGGCUGCUAAUACCGCAUAAGCGCACAGAGCUGCAUGGCUCAGUGUGAAAAACUCCGGUGGUAUAAGAUGGACCCGCGUUGGAUUAGCUUGUUGGCAGGGUAACGGCCUACCAAGGCGACGAUCCAUAGCCGGCCUGAGAGGGUGAACGGCCACAUUGGGACUGAGACACGGCCCAGACUCCUACGGGAGGCAGCAGUGGGGAAUAUUGCACAAUGGGGGAAACCCUGAUGCAGCGACGCCGCGUGAAGGAAGAAGUAUCUCGGUAUGUAAACUUCUAUCAGCAGGGAAGAUAGUGACGGUACCUGACUAAGAAGCCCCGGCUAACUACGUG
rnacentral:rRNA from 1 species